rnacentral:lncRNA from 1 species
CACAAAUUGGCAAUUGUGCUCUUUAUAGCAGGGAGAAGAGUGGCAGUUGCAUUGGAAACCUGAUUAGAAUGGAACAUGUAAAGAUAGUUUGUGAUGGGCAAUAUUUACAUAAUUUCCAAUGUAAACAUGGUGCCAUACCUGUCACAAAUCUAAUGGCAGGUGACAGAGUUAUUGUAAGUGGAGAAGAAAGGUCACUGUUUGCUUUGUCUAGAGGAUAUGUGAAGGAGAUUA